rnacentral:rRNA from 1 species
GAUUGUUUGAUCCUGGCUCAGGACGAACGCUGGCGGCGUGCUUAACACAUGCAAGUCGAACGGAAAGGGCCUUUCGGGGUACUCGAGUGGCGAACGGGUGAGUAACACGUGGGUGAUCUGCCCUGCACUUUGGGAUAAGCCUGGGAAACUGGGUCUAAUACAGAAUAGGACCACGCGCUUCAUGGUGUGUGGUGGAAAGCUUUUGCGGUGUGGGAUGGGCCCGCGGCCUAUCAGCUUGUUGGUGGGGUAAUGGCCUACCAAGGCGACGACGGGUAGCCGGCCUGAGAGGGUGACCGGCCACACUGGGACUGAGAUACGGCCCAGACUCCUACGGGAGGCAGCAGUGGGGAAUAUUGCACAAUGGGCGCAAGCCUGAUGCAGCGACGCCGCGUGAGGGAUGACGGCCUUCGGGUUGUAAACCUCUUUCAAUAGGGACGAAGCGCAAGUGACGGUACCUAUAGAAGAAGCACCGGCCAACUACGUGCCAGCAGCCGCGGUAAUACGUAGGGUGCGAGCGUUGUCCGGAAUUACUGGGCGUAAAGAGCUCGUAGGUGGUUUGUCGCGUUGUUCGUGAAAACUCACAGCUUAACUGUGGGCGUGCGGGCGAUACGGGCAGACUAGAGUACUGCAGGGGAGACUGGAAUUCCUGGUGUAGCGGUGGAAUGCGCAGAUAUCAGGAGGAACACCGGUGGCGAAGGCGGGUCUCUGGGCAGUAACUGACGCUGAGGAGCGAAAGCGUGGGGAGCGAACAGGAUUAGAUACCCUGGUAGUCCACGCCGUAAACGGUGGGUACUAGGUGUGGGUUCCUUCCUUGGGAUCCGUGCCGUAGCUAACGCAUUAAGACACC